AGGUACAUUGAAAACCAAACAGAGCUUACUACAAAAAGCAAAAGAGCGGUGGAUAACAACAGGGUUUAGAAAAUUCGUUCUAGAUAAAGAGCUCUGCGUAAUUACAGCGGUUGUUCAAGCGUCAAUACGAGACAUUUCCAACAAAGUAAAGUGUGCAAUUCUAUAUAUACUAGUAUGGCAGAUCCAAGAAUUCAAAUGGGGAGGGAAGGAGGCACAAUAUCAUGUGAUAUAAAAGGGCAAACAACACAGUUGGAUCAAUCAUUGUAAGUCUGCACCUCUAUAGCUAUAACAAUGAGAGAAAUGUAUCCAAAGCAAUCAGAAUAUAGGUGAUCACAGACAUAUAAAAGUCAACUAUCAAGGAAAAAGUAAUGCAUCUCCAGACAAUACAAUAGUUUGAAAAAUGUCCUUUCUCUGCGACAGCAAAGGAUGACUGUGCAGAAAUACAUGUAAUUUUUUUCCCAAGAGUGAAAUUCGGAAGGUACGCUGCUGCUCAAAGACUUAAGAGAGCCAUGAUUAUAGGCAUGAAGUUAUCCGCCAGCAUUACCUCACAGGCACCACUUGUGAUUUCAUAGUGUGAACAACAAUUGACAUGGAUGUAAACCGCAUCCUUCGAAAUGAAUUAUGGGAAUCACACUCGGCAAACAUGAUUCAGUAUUUUGCCUUCUCUGCAAUAACCAACUACACAAACGUGUGAAAAUUCAGAUGUCUUCUAUCAUUUUCAUUUUUUUUCCAAACCAUGCAAUAAGUAACUGGUCAAAGAUAUAAUAAAGUUUCCAAAGAAAAUGAUAA